rnacentral:antisense_RNA from 1 species
GAUAGCCAAAAAUAGUGAUGGGAUUUACUGUCGGAUCGGUAAUAAUUCUGACUCCUCCGCCAUUAAUCGCCCAGGGGUCAAAUAAUCCACCCCAAAACAUAGCUUUAAAAAAAACUAAUAAAAAUGCGCCUAUACCCAGAAAAAUCAGAUGAAUGCCCAGAAUACUAGUCAUUUUGUCGUCAUCUUUCCA